rnacentral:lncRNA from 1 species
GAGAGAGAGAGAUUGAUAUAUUAUUCAACUUCAAACUGAUGUACAUAAUGAACUGAAAACUCCUCUAUUUAUAGAAGAAUGGAAGCAACUGUGAGGCUUUUCAGGAAGCAGCUGCAAGACUUAUCAGGAAGCAGCUGCAAGACUUAUUCUUCAACUACUUGUCAGCUCUCUGCAUGACCUGCUUGCAACCUGCCUGCUUAAUAAGAAGUGCUACAAAUCAUUUUAUUCAGUUGCUUGUAACCUGCCCGCAUCAGCUGCUUGUAGAUAAACUUCAAUAGAAUAUUAAAUGGAUAAUCUUUUUCAGAAAAAUUAUUUAUGGUGGAGUAUUAAAUGAACAACCACAAUAUAAUUAAUUCCAUAACAGUUUGUAGAAAUUUACCAUAAUUACUUUGUAGCAUUUUAAAGAAUGGAGAUGCUACUGUAUGAUGUGAGAGUGGAAUCCGUUGAAAUUAAGACAAAAUCGUAGAAGAUCGAAGGGGGUGAGAGUGGAAUCCGUUGAAAUUAAGACAAAAUCGUAGGAGGUCGAAGGGUAUAAUCUCAGUGAUAAAGUUUUAUGAUUGAACUUGUUACCUUAAUUUUGCUUUUUCAGUAAUUUUUUAGCUUUUUGGAUGCGCUGUAAAUAAGAAUCAUAUUGUUAUGGGCUUAUGGGAAUUUGCAUCUAUACCCGCUUUUUUUACUACAUUUUAAUUUAUAUUUGUUUGUAAAAAAAAUACAAGCGUAUUCGCUUUUUCACAUAACUUCAGUAUACGGGGCUAAAGUAGCAAAGACAAUUACACAAAACUUCAGCAUUUUAGUAACCAGACCUGAAUUUCAGCUCUAGAGCUGAAGUUUUUGUUUUGUAAGAGCUGAAAUUUGCUAGUUAUAAAAUAAAACCUUCAGCUCUAGAGCUGAAGUUUUUGUCUUUGUAACCGAAUAACUUCAGCUCUUUCCGGUUAUAAAAUAAAACUUUAGUUCUAGAGCUGAAGUUUCUAUGUUGUAACUAGAGCUGAAGUUUGCCAGUUAUAAAAUAAAAACUUCAGCUGAAGUUUUUGUUUAGUAACCCGGAAACUUUAGCUCUAGAGCUGAAGUUAUCAAGUUAUAAAAUAAAAAGAUCAGCUCUAGCGCUGAAGUUUGCCAGUUAUAAAAUAAAAACUUCAGCUAGAGCUGAAGUUUUCCAGUUAUAAAAUAAAAACUUCAGAUUUAGAGAUGAAGUUUUUGUUUAGUAACCCUGAAACUCUAACUCUAGUUAUAAAAUAAAAACUUCAGUUUUUGAGCUGAAAUUUUUGUUUAGUAACCCGGAUAUGAAUGCAAACAAAAAGAUAAAGCGGCUACAGGUUAAAGAGGCCUCGUGCAAUUUUUACUUUUCUUUAUUCGUAUACUUUUGGUUUUUUUGUAAAAAGCAUUAUAAUUGCUAAAUAUUGGUCUUUAUUUAGAAAUUAUAUAAAUCGUCCAAUAAUUGCUAAUCCAAUACCGAACGGCCUAAUAUUUUAUCGAUUGGUUAGGAAAUUAGUAUAUUUAAAAGCCGAAACCAAUAAGCUGAACCGUCAAGCGUAAAUAUCCCCCGAUCCACCCAAUAAGCAACCCUAGUUUUAACUGUCUUUUUAUUUAAAUAAGUGAUGGUGAGAUUUUCAAUAAAUCAUGUUAUUAAGAAUAAAAUAAAAAUAUAAAAUUCAAUAUUUCAUUAUUUCAAAAAAGUGUAUCAUUUAUUUAGCGACAGAUUAAAAGAGAAUAUUAAAUAGUACAAUUAGAUAAAGUAGUCUGAGUAAACAGCCUCUCUACCCCAGGGUAGGGGUAAGGUUCGCGUACACAAUAUCUUCCCUAGACUCAAUUAAGUGAAAUUAUACUAGGUUGUUGUUGUCUAAGUACAUAACACAUUGUUUUUGUAUUAUGUAAUUCCUAAUUUAUCUGACUUCAAAAUAUUUAAAACACAGAAAGGAGGAAUUGGGGAAACAGGAAGACUUAGCUUUCAGUCCCAAAGUCUAAUGCCUUUAUACAUUUGCAUUUUACAAUUUGUAAUUUACUUUAAAAUUGACUAAAAUUAUAUUCAUUGUAAAUUUAAUAAAUUAUUACACGUUCAACGUAAUUUACAAAUUCAGAUUAAUUAGCUUUCUUAGACUCCUAUGUCAUGUGUUCAAGUGAAUAUUUAUUUUUUAUUGCAAAAAAAAAGUGUCGAUUUUAUUUACCUUUGAUUUCGAGGGAACCACAAUUGUCCCGUGGUUUUCGUCUUCUUAGUCGUCAUGUUCCAGUGGGCUGUGUUAGCUUGUGUAAUUGCCUAUUUUCCCUUUUGCUUCAAAGAACCAACAAACCAUUGUCAAUAGUCAUACCUCAAAUCACAUGGGCAAGUGCACAGCUAGUUAUUUUUAGGGAUACUAUUUAGAAAUUAAUUAUUAUUUAUUUUGUCCUGAAAUUUUGAACUAAAAAUUAUAACAUCAGGAUAUUCAGAAUAUUUUUGUCUCGAAGAUUUGAACUCAAAAAUUAAAAUUCAAGAUACAUUGGCUAAUUCUUAAAUAACAACCCUUUAAAAUGGCUACCUUGUGUCAUUUCUACUUUCUUCUAUUGUUGAGCCUGCUGUGUCAUGCUCCAGGCCCACCCUUAGUCUUGUUGAGCCUGAUUUCUCUCUUUGUACAUCAAGUUCCUUCGUCGAUCUUCUAAAACAGAAGGAAAAAAAAAAGUUGUAUAAAAAGUUUUCAAUAUAAAUGGAAAUCCUAUAA